rnacentral:rRNA from 1 species
UACGUAGGGUGCGAGCGUUGUCCGGAAUUACUGGGCGUAAAGAGCUCGUAGGUGGUUUGUCGCGUUGUCCGUGAAAACUCACAACUCAAUUGUGGGCGUGCGGGCGAUACGGGCAGACUGGAGUACUGCAGGGGAGACUGGAAUUCCUGGUGUAGCGGUGGAAUACGCAGAUAUCAGGAGGAACACCGGUGGCGAAGGCGGGUCUCUGGGCAGUAACUGACGCUGAGGAGCGAAAGCGUGGGGAGCGAACAGG